GGAUCGGUAGCUCAAUCGGUAGAGCAGGUGCCUUUUAAGCACUUGGUUCGGGGUUCAAGUCCCCGCCGGUCUACCA
rnacentral:tRNA from 4 species